rnacentral:rRNA from 1 species
GAUAAACGCUAGCGGUGUGCAUUAUGCAUGCAAGUCGAGCGGUAUGUCGUAAGAUAUACAGCGGCAAACGGCUGAGUAACACGUAAGUAAUCCGUCCCAAAGUGGGGAAUAAUCCGCCGAAAGGUGGACUAAUACCGCAUGUGGUGGUGGAAUCAGUUUUCUAUCACUAAAGCUCUCGGGCGCUUGGGGAAGAGCUUGCGUCCUAUCAGGUAGUUGGUGGGGUAACGGCCUACCAAGCCUUCGACGGGUAGCUGGUCUGAGAGGAUGUCCAGCCAGACGGGGACUGAGACACGGCCCCGACUCCUACGGGAGGCAGCAGCAGGGAAUUUUGCGCAAUGGGCGAAAGCCUGACGCAGCAACGCCGCGUGCGGGAUGAAGGCCUUCGGGUUGUAAACCGCUUUUAUCAGGGACGGUGAUGACGGUACCUGAUGAAUAAGUCACGGCUAACUACGUGCCAGCCGCCGCCGUAACAC